rnacentral:rRNA from 1 species
AUGGUAGAGGGGUCCGCUCUAGAUAUUACUAACCUGAAGUUCCUCCCCCUGUGCUUCCAACAAAUGUCGGGUCUAACCAUCAACUUCGAUAAGAGCGAAGUGAUGGUUCUCGGAUACCCCUUGGAGGAAGCACAUGCUAUUGCUGACCGACUAAAUUGUCAGCUGGGUUCUUUCCCCACGACCUAUCUGGGGAUCCCCAUUAGUGAUUCACGCCUCACCGUAGCCGAUCUUCGUCCCACUGUGACCCGUGUGCAACAUCGCGUUGAGCCCUGGAAAGGGCGCUGGCUGUCGAAGGCUGCUCGCGUGAUCCUUAUCAAUUCCUUGCUUGCCAGCCUCCUUUGGUUCCUCAUGAGCUUCUAUAGCCUCCAUGAAACCCUUCAUCAGGAGAUCACUAAAUACCAAUCCAGAUUCUUCUAGGCUGGGGAGGGGGAUAAGCAGAAGUACCACAUGGUCAGCUGGCCAGAUAUCUGCAAACCCAAGGACCAGGGCGGUCUUGGGAUCUUGUCCUCCUGACGCAUGAACAUUGCCCUCCUGACCCCUUGGCUCUGGCGCAUUGCCAAUGGCGAUGGAGUUCUCUGGCUU